CCAGACUCCUACGGGAGGCAGCAGUGGGGAAUAUUGCACAAUGGGGGGAACCCUGAUGCAGCGACGCCGCGUGGGUGAAGGAGCACCUCGGUGCGUAAAGCCCUAUCGGCAGGGAAGAAACAGACGGUACCUGACUAAGAAGCCCCGGCUAACUACGUGCCAGCAGCCGCGGGAAUACGUAGGGAGCGAGCGUUAUCCGGAAUUAUUGGGUGUAAAGGGUGCGUAGACGGGAAAACAAGUUAGUUGUGAAAUCCCUCGGCUUAACUGAGGAACUGCAACUAAAACUAUUUUUCUUGAGUGCAGGAGAGGUAAGUGGAAUUCCUAGUGUAGCGGUGAAAUGCGUAGAUAUUAGGAGGAACACCAGUGGCGAAGGCGACUUACUGGACUGUAACUGACGUUGAGGCACGAAAGUGUGGUGAGCAAACAGGAUUAGAUACCCGCGUAC
rnacentral:rRNA from 1 species